AGGAGAAGUCAGUUUUUGAUAGGUUUCCCACGGAUUUGAUGGCUAGGGUUUGAAAAUUUAGGGAAAACCGAAAAUGAGCCGUGAGAACCAAGGAUUUGAGAAGAACGAAUCUUGGUUUGGAGGAAUUUUGAGGUUUUUGGGAGAGCAAGGAUGUGGAUUCUUGAUUAGGACGAGAGGGAGAGAAGACUUGGGAUUUGAGGCAUCCCAACUCUCUGUUCUAUUGAAAAAUGAUCAGAUGGGCUCACCUAUAAGUGACCUACCCGCAUGAAUGGGAUGUCCCAUGGGAUACCCCAUUCAGGGCUCUUUCAGGUGAUGGGGAAAAUGAUUUAAAUAAAGAAAAAAAUCAAAAGAAAAA
rnacentral:lncRNA from 1 species